UACGGAGGGUCCAAGCGUUAUCCGGAAUCAUUGGGUUUAAAGGGUUCGCAGGCGGUCUAAUAAGUCAGUGGUGAAAUCCUACAGCUCAACUGUAGAACUGCCAUUGAUACUGUUAGACUUGAAUAUAGUUGGAGUAGGCGGAAUGUGUAGUGUAGCGGUGAAAAUGCUUAGAUAUUACACAGAACACCGAUAGCGAAGGC
rnacentral:rRNA from 1 species